AUUGAACGCUGGCGGCAGGCUUAACACAUGCAAGUCGAGCGAGCGGCGGACGUGUGAGUAAUAUCUGGGACACUGCCUGAUGGAGGGGGAUCACUACUGGACACGGUAGCUAAUACCACAUACCCUCAGAUGUGCCCAUAUGGGAUUAGCUUGUGGGUGGGGUAAUGGCUCACCUAGGCGACGAUCCCUAGCUGGUCUGAGAGGAUGACCAGCCACACUGGAACUGAGACACGGUCCAGACUCCUACGGGAGGAAGCAGUGGGGAAUAUUGCACAAUGGGCGCAAGCCUGAUGCAGCCAUGCCGCGUGUGUGAAGAAGGCCUUCGGGUUGUAAAGCACUUUCAGCGAGGAGGCGUUACUCGCAGAAGAAGCACCGGCUAACUCCGUGCCAGCAGCCGCGGUAAUUC
rnacentral:rRNA from 1 species